AUUGAACGCUGGCGGCAUGCCUUACACAUGCAAGUCGAACGGCAGCACGGGGCAACCUGGUGGCGAGUGGCGAACGGGUGAGUAAUGCAUCGGAACGUACCUUUCAGUGGGGGAUAACGUAGCGAAAGUUACGCUAAUACCGCAUAUUCUGUGAGCAGGAAAGCAGGGGAUCGCAAGACCUUGCGCUGAUUGAGCGGCCGAUGUCAGAUUAGCUAGUUGGUGAGGUAAAGGCUCACCAAGGCGACGAUCUGUAGCGGGUCUGAGAGGAUGAUCCGCCAGACGUGAACUGAGACACGGUCCAGACUCCUACGGGAGGCAGCAGUGGGGAAUUUUGGACAAUGGGGGCAACCCUGAUCCAGCCAUGCCGGGUGAGUGAAGAAGGCCUUCGGGUUGUAAAGCUCUUUCGGCCGGGAAGAAAUCGCACGGGCUAAUACCCUGUGUGGAUGACGGUACCGGAAUAAGAAGCACCGGCUAACUACGUGCCAGCCGCCGCGGUAAAAC
rnacentral:rRNA from 1 species